rnacentral:rRNA from 1 species
UUUUUGCCCGGUGCACUCUUCUAUAGGCAGGCCAGCAUCAGUUUGGGCGGUUGGAUAAAGGUCUCUGUCAUGUACCUCUCUUCGGGGAGAACUUAUAGGGGAGACGACAUGCAACCAGCCUGGACUGAGGUCCGCGCAUCUGCUAGGAUGCUGGCGUAAUGGCUGUAAGCGGCCCGUCUUGAAACACGGACCAAGGAGUCCAAUUA